AUCGCUUCUCGGCCUUUUGGCUAAGAUCAAGUGUAGUAUCUUAGUCAUUGGAGUUGCGAUACUUUUCUCUCAGAGAUGCCUCAGCUUGCUUCUAGGCAAAAAUCUCCUCUACCUGUAAUGGGGUGGAAAAAUA
ensembl:snRNA U2 U2 spliceosomal RNA